rnacentral:rRNA from 1 species
GGCUUAACCUGGGAACUGCAUUUGAGACUGGUGGGAUUGAGUGUGGAAAAGGGAAAUGGAAUUCCAUGUGUAACAAUGAAAUGGGUAAAUGUGCGGAAGAACACCGAUGGCGAAGGCAAUCCCCUGGACCUGGGCUGACACUCAUGAUCAAAAACCUGGGGAGCCAACACGAUUAAAUACUUUGGUAGUCCGUCCCUAAAC